rnacentral:rRNA from 1 species
UAAUUAAGCGGAGGAAAAGAAACCAACUCGGAUUCCCCUAGUAACGGCGAGUGAAGCGGGAAGAGCUCAUGUUGUAAAUCUGGAUGAGGAUUCCUCGUCCCGAAUUGUAGUCUAGAGAUGCGUGCUCAGCUACUCUCCAGGGCUAAGUCUGUUUGUGAAAGACAGCAUCAUGGACGGUGAUAAUCCGGUUCUUGCCUUGGAUGUUGUAGCGUCUUGAGCCGUCCUCAACGAGUCGAGUUGCUUGGGAUUGCAGCUCUAAGCGGGUGGUAAAUUCCAUCUAAAGCUAAAUAUUGGUGGG